rnacentral:tRNA from 1 species
UGUUGAUGUGGUUGAAACGGGAAAUUGAAGACGCUUGCAUCUUCUUUCGAGCUUGGCUAUGGACGCGUGGCUAACAGUUCAACGCGACUAUCGGUAU